rnacentral:misc_RNA from 1 species
ACAAGUAAUAUCUCCAGAUCUUCAAGGCAAAGACAAUGGCUGCUAGCUCUAGGUCAUGUAUAGGAUAAUUCCUCUCAUGUGGUUUAAGAUGGCGAGAAGCAUAGGCAAUGACGUUUCUGUCUUGCAUCAACACAUAGCCCAAUCCAUUAUGAGAAGCAUCACUGUAUAUGAUAUACUCUUUACCUAAAGUAGGCAAAGUUAAGACUGGAGCUUCAGUUAAAGACCUCUUUAACUCAUCAAAACUCUCCUGGCACUGAUCAGUCCACUGUAAUUUUACAUCCUUCCUAAGUAGCUUAGUCAGUGGAGAUGCUAACAUGGAGAAUCCUUUCAUAAAUCUGCGGUAAUACCCAGCUAAACCAUGGAAACUCCAAACUUCAGUGACAUUCCUGGGUGGCUUCCAAUUAAGAAUAGCUUCUACUUUGCUAGGAUCCACUUGGAUACCCUUUGCAGAUACAAUAUGCCCCAAAAAUGU